GAACCUGCACAUGAGAACAUCAGCAGAUCCCCAGAAGAGUCUGUUCUCCUGCACUGCUCCUGUACUGACCUACAGACCCAACCUGAGGAGAUUUACUGGGAAUUCUCUCAUGGCAAAACUUUCCCCCUCAUUGGUCAAUAUGAUGAUGAAAGGGCGAAACACUACAACGGUAGACUCCGUAUGUUUAACACAUCCUCUCCAGGAAAUGCAUCUCUGCUUAUAUCUAACCUGACUAAAGAAGACCAGGGAAGAAUCCUCCAGCAAGUUCAUGCUGAUUCUCAUUCCUUUGGUGCUGCUGCUGCUGCUGAUGGGAGCAGCUGCAGUCAUCUACUGGAGAUGCAUAAAGAGGACAAAAGCCCCCUCCGAGAACAAAGAGGAACACACAGGGCCCAAACAACAGCAGAGCGAGGAUGUGACUUACUCUACUGUAGUCCAUGGGAACACACCCAGAUCACCACCCAGAGAUACCAACACUGAGGAGACCACAGAAUAUACCAGCAUCAAACUAGACAUUGUACGACCAACUGGAAAUCACCACACUCACACACAGAGGUGUCUACUUAAGUAGAAUUUUUAGACAACAGAGGCGAACAAAUGAUACAACGCGCGGCAAUGGCAGUGUCAGAAAGAGAUGGCAACUCUGGCGAGAUGUCUGAAGGGUCUGAAGACGCAAGACAGUAGUGGCGA
ensembl:lncRNA